ACGGAAGGCAGCAGUGGGGGAUAUUGGACAAUGGGGGAAACCCUGAUCCAGCGACGCCGCGUGAGUGAAGAAGUAUUUCGGUAUGUAAAGCUCUAUCAGCAAGGAAGAAAAUGACGGUACUUGACUAAGAAGCCCCGGCUAACUACGUGCCAGCAGCCGCGGUAAUACGUAGGGGGCAAGCGUUAUCCGGAUUUACUGGGUGUAAAGGGAGCGUAGACGGCAUAGCAAGUCUGAAGUGAAAUGCAUGGGCUCAACCCAUGAACUGCUUUGGAAACUGUUAAGCUAGAGUGCAGGAGAGGUAAGUGGAAUUCCUAGUGUAGCGGUGAAAUGCGUAGACAUUAGGAGGAACACCAGUGGCGAAGGCGGCUUGCUGGACGAUAACUGACGUUGAGGCUCGAAAGCGUGGGGAGCAAACAGGAUUAGAUACCCUGGUA
rnacentral:rRNA from 1 species